UACGUAGGGCGCGAGCGUUGUCCGGAAUUAUUGGGCGUAAAGAGCUCGUAGGCGGCUUGUCACGUCGGGUGUGAAAGACCGGGGCUUAACUCCGGUUCUGCAUUCGAUACGGGCUAGCUAGAGUGUGGUAGGGGAGAUCGGAAUUCCUGGUGUAGCGGUGAAAUGCGCAGAUAUCAGGAGGAACACCGGUGGCGAAGGCGGUCUGCUGGGCAGUUUCUGACACUGAUGCGCGACAGCGUGGGGAGCAAACAGG
rnacentral:rRNA from 1 species